GCUUACGGCCAUACCACCUGAACACGCCGAUCUCGUCCGAUCUCGGAAGCUAAGCAGGGUCGGGCCUGGUUAGUACUUGGAUGGGAGACCGCCUGGGAAUACCAGGUGCUGUAAGCU
rnacentral:rRNA from 1 species